AAUGAACGUUGGCGGCAUGGAUUAGGCAUGCAAGUCGAGCGAGAAGAGUUUUGAAGCUUGCUUUAGAACUCGGACAGCGGCGAAAGGGAGAGUAACGCGUAGUUAUGUGCCCUAGGGUCCGGAAUAGCCACGGGAAACUGUGGGUAAUGCCGGAUAAUAUCCCCGGAGCAAAGGUGUGAUUCCGCCCUAGGAGCAGACUUCGUCCUACUAGCUGGUUGGUGGGGUAAUGGCCCACCAAGGCAAUGAUGGGUAGCGGGUGUGAGAGCAUGACCCGGCUCACGGGGACUGGGACACUGCCCAGACACCUACGGGUGGCUGCAGUCGAGAAUCUUCGGCAAUGGGCGAAAGCCUGACCGAGCGAUGCCGCGUGCGGGAUGAAGGACCUCGGGUUGUAAACCGCUGUCGGAGGGGAGGAAGGUUCCGUGAAGAGCGGGACUUGACCUAUCCUAGGAGGAAGUACGGGCUAAGUUCGUGCCAGCCGCCGCGGUAA
rnacentral:rRNA from 1 species